rnacentral:lncRNA from 1 species
GGGUGUUGAAGAGAAGAAAAAGAAGGUUCCUGCUGUGCCAGAAACCUUAAGAAAAAGGGAAGGAAUUUCGCAGAGCUGAAGAUCAAGCGCCUGAGAAAGAAGUCUGCCCAAAAGAUGCUUCGAAAGGCAAGGAGGAAACUUAUCUAUCAAAAAGCAAACCACUAUCACAAGGAAUGUAGGCAGAUGUACAGAACUGAAAUUCGAAUGGCGAGGCUGGCAAGAAAAGCUGGCAACAUCUAUGUACCUGCAGAACCCAAAUUGGCGUUUGUCAUCAGGAUCAGAGAUAUCAAUGGUGUGAGCCCAAAGGUCUGAAAGGUGUUGCAGCUUCUUUGCUCUCAUCAAAUCUUCAAUGGAACCUUUGUGAAGCUCAACAAGGCUUCAAUUAACAUGCUGAGGAUUGUAGAACCACAUAUUGCAUGGGAGUACCCAAAUCUGAAGUCAGUAAAUGAAGUAAUCUACAAGCGUGGUUAUGGCAAAAUCAAUAAGAAGGGAAUUACUUUGACAGAUAACACUUUGAUUGCUGUGUCUCUUAAUAAAUAUGGCAUCAUCUGCAUGGAGGAUCUGAUUCAUGAGAUCUAUACUGUUGGAAAGUGCUUCAAAGAAGCAAGUGACUUCCCGUGCCCUUCAAAUUAUCUUCUCCACGAGGUAGAAAGUAGAAAAAGACCACCCGUUUUGUAGAAGGUGGAGAUGCUGGCAACAGCGAGGACCAGAUUAACAGUCUUAUCAGAAGAACGAACU